rnacentral:rRNA from 1 species
UACGUAGGGCGCAAGCGUUGUCCGGAAUUAUUGGGCGUAAAGAGCUCGUAGGCGGUCUGUCGCGUCCGUUGUGAAAACUCGAGGCUCAACCUCGGGCUUGCAGUGGAUACGGGCAGACUAGAGUGCGGUAGGGGAGACUGGAAUUCCUGGUGUAGCGGUGGAAUGCGCAGAUAUCAGGAGGAACACCGAUGGCGAAGGCAGGUCUCUGGGCAUUAACUGACGCUGAGGAGCGAAAGCAUGGGGAGCGAACAGG